rnacentral:rRNA from 1 species
GAUGAACGCUAGCUACAGGCUUAACACAUGCAAGUCGAGGGACCGGCGCACGGGUGAGUAACACGUAUCCAACCUGCCCUUUACUCGGGGAUAGCCUUUCGAAAGAAAGAUUAAUACCCGAUGUAAAGGAUGGGGAUGCGUUCCAUUAGGUUGUUGGUGAGGUAACGGCUCACCAAGACUUCGAUGGAUAGGGGUUCUGAGAGGAAGGUCCCGAGAUAGGAACUGAGGCACGGUCCAGACUCAUACGGGAGGCAGCAGUUAUGGAUAUUGGUCAAUGGGCUUUAUCCUGAAACUGCCAAAUAGCGUGAAGGAUGAAGGCUUAUUGGUCGUAAACUUCUUUUAUAGAAGAAUAUGUAUUAUAUGAAUAAGAAUCGGCUAACUCCGUGCCAGCAGCCGCGGUAAUUC